rnacentral:rRNA from 1 species
GACGAACGCUGGCGGCGUGCUUAACACAUGCAAGUCGAACGGAAAGGCCCUGCUUGCAGGGUACUCGAGUGGCGAACGGGUGAGUAACACGUGGGUGAUCUGCCCUGCACUUCGGGAUAAGCCUGGGAAACUGGGUCUAAUACCGGAUAGGAGCCAUUUUUAGUGUGAUGGUUGGAAAGUUUUUUCGGUGUAGGAUGAGCUCGCGGCCUAUCAGCUUGUUGGUGGGGUAAUGGCCUACCAAGGCGGCGACGGGUAGCCGGCCUGAGAGGGUGGACGGCCACAUUGGGACUGAGAUACGGCCCACACUCCUACGGGAGGCAGCAGUGGGGAAUAUUGCACAAUGGGCGCAAGCCUGAUGCAGCGACGCCGCGUGGGGGAUGACGGCCUUCGGGUUGGAAACUCCUUUCGCUAGGGACGAAGCUUUUUGUGACGGUACCUAGAUAAGAAGCACCGGCUAACUACGUG